AGCAAAUAAGUUAUUGAAUUUGAAUUUGAGUGCUGCUGCUGCUGAGUUACACCUGUAUUCUAGAUAAUUGAUGGGCUCAGGUACCUACCGACUGACAGCUUUUUAAAUUCUAUGGGUAGGUAUCUCAGGCCCAGUUUGAGAAUCAAAAAUUGAGAGGACAAUAUCAUCGAUGACGUGUUAAGAAAUCCAGGUACUAAUAGAUUGUUCCCGGAUUUCCCGAAGCAUUCCCGGCCUUCCCUCAUCUGCCGCUAAGAUGGUCUCCGAUAUUAUACAGACAGUGGCGGAGCAACAGGCCUAUAAGUUAUAUAGUGAGAACUGGCCGUCACGAACUUGUACUGACGAGGGCAAAUUAAUGAGGGAAAACCAGAGGAACAGAUUUUUCUGUUUCUAAUUUGGAUGCCGCAUUCCUGUAGAGGAGCCGAAAGAAAGGGACGAUCCUUUAGAGGACAUUGCGGAGAAUAUCACGGAGGGGUUCGACUUCGAACCAAGCUCGUCGGAUUGGGAGCCCAGCGACGUGGACGAUGUAUCAGACUCCGAUUAUGAGGACGAGAGGAAAAGGCGCAAGCUUAAUACACCGAAGCGCCAAGGGGCUAAGAAACCUGAGCCCGUGCCGAAGAACGUACUCAACCCAUCCAACAAGGAUAAUAUAAAAGCUGCUGUUGGUUGCCGCACGAGCAGGAAGCAACCUGCGCCUAGGAGACUGGUUGUGUCGCCCGACGGCAAGGUACAGGCUGUAGUGGCUAUGCCAAAGAAAACUAAUCUGAAUAACAAAGCGCAGCCAGUUACGCCG